CUCUGAUUAUUUUCAUCCAAUAGCCCAGAUCAACGUCCGUGUCUGUACACAGAGACAUGCAUGAACUUAGGGGAAUCCGAUCAAAGCUCUUGGGGAAAUGUAAUGGAAUAUAUAUGUUCCUAUCUACCUUCUCAGUUUACAUUCACACUUGGCAGAUAUUACGGGCAGCUAUGUCUUUAGAGCUGUCAAUAUUCAAAUAACUUCUAGUAUUGAGUGAGAUGGUAUGUCUUUGUAUUUUACAGUAUUUUCCCUAAUUUCAGACCUUUGAGACUAUGUAAAGACAAUCCUUUGCUUAGGUCUCUAAUCAGAGCAAGGGGAGUGUGAUUGCAAACAGGAAUUCCAAACCUCCCAUUUUGUGUGGAAAAUUCAACUAGGCCAGUAUUACAAGAUUUAGAAAUUAUGGUGUACUAACAUUAUAUGGGAAACCUUUUAAAAAUAGACAAUUUCAGUAGAGAGUAGCUCUUUGAUUUUAAAAAGGAUUAAAAAAAAAGAGAGAUACUUUGUUAUGUGUGAAGUUCUUUGUGCCUUAGCUUUCUUAAGAGCUCCUCUUUACUGUUAACUGUAAUAAUGAUAGGGCCUGUUGUGUACAGAUUCAUGUGUAUGCUAGAUUGGUUUCCUGUCCUUGCUUAGUGCUCAACAGUCUUUCAUAUUAGUUAGCCAUGAAAAACAUUUGCCACUAAUAUUUGAUUAGCAUCUUACAUAUUCAGGAUGCUAUGGUUUCUUUUUGGAAAGAGUGGGAUGAAAGUACUUAUGUAAAAGCAUUAAGUGUAGAUAAGGCUGUCUCUUGAUUUUUUUUUUUUUUCUCCAAUGAAUGGUAAUUCCUAAAGCUGAGUUUUCAGGUAGUAUUUAGUGGCUUUUAAAAUGGUAUUUUAGCUUUAAAGAUCAAAGAUUAAGAGUAGCUUUUGCCAAAUAACUUACAUACCAUCUCCAUAUUUAACCAUAUACUGGAGAUAAGUGGCUUUUAAAACAUAAAACAAUUUUAACUUGUUUUUUAAAUGACCUAAGGAAGCUAAACAAUAGUACUUUCUGAUGUUAGCAAUAAGGUCUGAUUUUGAGAAAAAUAUUUUUUUCCCUAUGACUAGAAGGUAUUCAAGUUUUUUAAAUUUUUAAAUAAUUUGAAAGAAUAUUUCUCUACUAGACUGUGCAUGUAAUAACUUGCGUGUUUUUUUUUCCAGGAAAUUAUACUUACAUAUUCUAAGUCCAUGUCCCAUCUUAGGAAGUAGCAUUACUUCUUAAAGUAAAGAAUGCUAGCAUAUCACAGUGUGUGGUUUUCAGUAUAAUUGCAACUCUUGAUUCAGAGACCUUAGAAAUGAUGAGGAGGAUAAUUUGGUUUUUCUGCUUAGUAUAUUCAACUAUACAUGAUUCACCUGUGACAAUUUUUAUACAUAAGACAUCUUACAUAGUUUUCGUAUUAUAACUGUGUACUGCUGUGAAAAGACUUAUGGCCAGUCACAACUUUCCAAGUACACCUAGUGUGCCAUAUUCAGACUCUUGGGAUGUUCUGUGAACUGUUGACAAUCUACUGAGAUCCUCAGUGUUAAUCUUAUAAGAGAUUUUGGUGCUUUCUUACUCAGUCUUAAUUUUGUCUCAAUAAGUAAACUAGGCCUUCUGACUAGUCUUUAAGGAUGCUGAAGUCAUAGGUGACGCUGCUUGCUAUCCGUGUAAUAAACGUAUACCAAGUUUAGUUGUUUCAGAGAUUAGUACUUAUAAUAGAAUGUUUUUAUAGUCUCAAGACAUGGAUAACUCCAGGGUGGGUAAUUUGUAUCCGUAAUCUCAGUCUUUAGAUGGUGGAGACAGGAGGAUCAGAAGUUUCAGGCCAGUCUGGGCCACAUGAAACCCUGUCUUAAGAAAACAGAUAUAGAUAAAUGAAUAAAACAAACAAUACUUACACAAAAGGAACGUUCAUAUCCUUCCAAAAUGCAACUUUUACUCUGUCCUUCUGUUUUUAGGUAAUACUACAUCAAAUUAAUCUAGUGGUUGGGAAAACACUUUUUUUUUUUAGUAUAGAGUAGAGUUUAUUUAGGACAUGGG
rnacentral:lncRNA from 1 species